UGAUUCGUUCCUUCUGGAACAGGCUAAGGUCAAAGACCAUGCUGCCUAGUCAUCAGUAGUAAAAAAAUUGGUUGUAUACCUUAAUGUCAUUGCCUUAAAAAAAAUGAGUGAUAUGAAAGUGAGGUUAUGUUUGACUUUGAUUAUUUUUGGAAUUCUGCGAGUGAACCAGGGUUUACUUACUGCGUGUUUCAUGCAAUGUAUUUUUUAGAAAUUUAAAUAUAAAAUUUAUUAUGGAUUCUUCUUCUGGCGAAGAAAGUUUUACUUGGGAAAAGGCAUCCCAUGGGAGCGAUGCUAGUGAUGAGCCUUCUAAACUGGAAGUACAAGACGUCAACAAUACAAAAACUGAGCUUAAAGACAGAAAAAAAAGGAAACAUAACAUUGAAGAAAAUAGUUUUCAAGAAGAAGAGUGUCCUAAAAGGAAAAAGAUUAAAACAGAACCAGAAAGUGAUUCCGAAGCCAAGAAAAAAAUUAAGAAAAAAAUGAAAUUGUCUAAUAGUAAUGGAUAUUCUUAUAAUUUGAGUGAUUCUGAGCAACAAGAGAAUGAUGAAUAUCUUAAUAUGCAAGUGAAGCAAGAGCAAAAGUGUCUGGAAUUAAGCAAUAGUAUAAAGUACGAAAAAAAUAAAAAGCAUAGAGAUAGUGAAUUCGAAAAUGUAGAUUCUAAAGAUAGCAAUGUGAAUGAUAACACAUCUAAAAAGAAAAAAAAUAAGAAGAAAAAAGAACUUACUAAUAAUGAGCUAUCAAUUGACAGUGCUACUGAAAAUGAUUUAUGUAACCAUGAAAACCAGGAUGAUAAUAUUGUACAAGAGAAAUAUGAGCUGAGUAAAAAGAGUCCCAAAAAGAAAAAAAGGAAGGAAAGACUGCCAAGUGAAAGUCAUGAUAGUCCUGAAAAUGAAAACAAAUUAAGUGCAGAAGAAACUAAAGUACAAAAUAAUAAAUCAAGUGAUUAUAAUUUUAAUGAGUCGAAUCAAAGUGAUCACAGCAAUGAUUUAGAUAGUAGCAUGGGUGUAAAUGACACAAAAUAUUCAAAAAAACAACAUCAAAACAGUAUAAACAUUCAUUCAACUGUUAGAAUUACUCAGUCUCAAAAUGAUUCACCAAGAAAGAUAACAUCAACUAAACAGAUUGAUUCUUCCCAUAACAAUGUAGCAGCUAUUGAUGACAAAAGCAAUUCAGCAUAUUAUAAUGAUGAAGAAAUUAGAAGUCACUCUAACAAUGUUUUAGAUGAUAGCACUUAUAAAAAUCAUUCUGAAUCAUUAAAAAAGCAAUUUUUCAAUACAACAAACAACCAAUCUCCCAUUAAAAUUGCUAAUAAUUCACCAAAAACAUUGUCAUCCAAACAGAGAAUGGACUCUCUUAACAAUGUAAGUAUUACUAAACCAGGAAGAUUAAUGGACCGAAUUUGUUAUGAAGAUGACCCUGACACAGAUACAGAUGUAACUCAAAGUAACAAUGAUACCUCAACAUACUUAAAAAAGUAUUUGAAACAAAACAACAAUUUGCAACCAAUUGUAAAAGGGUUAAAAAAAGGUUCAGAAAUUACUGAUGAUGAUGAAUUGUGGUUAUUAAAAUGUCCUCAUGACAUUGAUAUUCAAAAGUUAGAUAACACUUGUUUUAAUUUAGACAACAAAAGUAAAAUAAAAAUUCAUGGUGAAACAUAUUGUGGAAAUUUAGAUGAAAAUACAAGUACAAUAGCUAUUUUAUCCUCUGAUAAUUGUAAUUUUAUUAUUAAAAAUGUUGUUACAAGUGGUACAAUCAAUUUACGUAAAAGAUUACCAAAACCCCAUGUGCAAGAAGAUAAUGUUAUGGUAAAUAAUCAAACUGAUUUUAUUCCAUUGCCUAAAACUAAAUGUCGCCAUCCAUUGUUUGGCUCAGACUACAAGGACGCCAUUCAUGUUCGAAUGCGCGAGCGCGUAGACUCUGCAGCCGAGGACCCUGAGGUGUCCACAAUUUAUGAAAGAAAGAAGAAGAAAAAACAUCAUAAAAGAGAUUAUUACACUACAUUGAAACAAGAAUUAGACAAUUCAUUCGAAACAUCGCCAAAACUAGAAAAUGAAGCAGAUGUUACCAUAAAGAAGGCUAAGAAACGCAAACAUGUAACUGAAGAUGAAAGUUAUAAGAAAAAACCUAAAAGGAUAAAACUUGAGCCAGAUUCUGCAGAAGCUUGGGAGUCUGAAAAAGCAAUUGAAGAAAACCUAUUUAAUUUUUAGAUAAGUAGGCAUGUCUAUAUUGUCUAAGUAUGUUUCUGUAAAUAUUAUUAAAUGAUUAUUAGUGAUCCAACUGAUUCUGAGUAGGAUGUGAUCUAAAGUAAUUUAAUUAAUGCAUUGCUGCAGUUAUAACUAGCAUAAUUUUUAAUCCAUGGAAUGGCAAUAUUAUUUUUUCAAAAAUAGGUUGUUCAGUGUUCACUCCUACUAUGAAUACAUAUUUAGGAUUACUACUAACUAAAAUAAUUUUAA